CAGGUUGUGCGGGCCGGCCACAGCCUCGCCGGCGACAGCCCUCGCCGACCAAUUAGGAAUAAAACAAACUCGAAAGAAAAAGGGGGCCUUUCCGCCCGUUCCCUCAUUGGACGACGGGGAAGAGUCACGGGCUCUCCACACGCACCGUCUCCGAUUCAUGGACAGUGAGCUUCUAGGCUGAAACUGACCUACUAACUUGGAGUCUCACGUGCUGUAACAUAGCCUCGCUUGGCUGGUCAUGGGCGGAGCCCCGGGAUGCAUCUCCUGUACUGAGGCUGUGAGCUCCUUGGCAGACAGGACCUUCACUGCUGCAUCUUUAGCACAUAGCUGCAUGCCCCACACACAGUGGGUCCCAAUGUGCUGAUGACAGAAAUGAAUUCAAUCACCAGUAACAAAAUACUAAGCAUUUUUGAAACACCUUCUGCAUCCAUAGAAGAGGCCAUUCCAAGGUCGAGAGAGAAACUGUGUUAUGUCCAUGCAGUGGACGUGCUGCACAUGCAAAGUGCCAGGUGGUAGCUACAACAUGGGUAA